UGGGGAAUAUUGGACAAUGGGCGCAAGCCUGAUCCAGCCAUGCCGCGUGAGUGAUGAAGGCCCUAGGGUUGUAAAGCUCUUUCAACGGUGAAGAUAAUGACGGUAGCAGGUAAAGAAACCCCGGCUAACUCCGUGCCAGCAGCCGCGGUAAUACGGAGGGGGUUAGCGUUGUUCGGAAUUACUGGGCGUAAAGCGCACGUAGGCGGACCAGAAAGUUGGGGGUGAAAUCCCGGGGGCUCAACCCCGGAACUGCCUCCAAAACUAUUGGUCUAGAGUUCGAGAGAGGUGAGUGGAAUUCCAAGUGUAGAGGUGAAAUUCGUAGAUAUUUGGAGGAACACCAGUGGCGAAGGCGGCUCACUGGCUCGAUACUGACGCUGAGGUGCGAAAGUGUGGGGAGCAAACAGGAUUAGAUACCCUGGGUAGUCCACACCGUAAAACGAUGAAUGCCAGUCGUCGGGUAGCAUGCUAUUCGGUGAC
rnacentral:rRNA from 1 species